CCCCAACGCCAUCCGGCGGCUGCCCACCCACCUGCUUCUGGCCGGGGCAGACACUGGUGAGAGCAUGACUUCGUGUGGCAGUCCCACAGGACCAGCUAUUUAAAGGAUGUUUCUGUUACAACAUGCGACCGUUGUGGUGACAACAUGGCAUUCUUAUCUGACCAAGCCUGUGGGCCGAGAGGAUCAAGGCCUUUGCCUUGACAUGGUCCCACUUCUCUGCUGCUGUGUCUGGAGCGAUCACAUGGACCUGGCCAGAUCUCCAGCCCUCAUAAACAACACAACAC
rnacentral:lncRNA from 1 species